rnacentral:rRNA from 1 species
GUCUCCAGCCGUACCACCCUGAGUGCGCCCGAUCUUGUCUGAUUUUGGAAGCUAAGCAGGCUCGGUGCUGGUUCAUACCUGGAUGGGAGAGCGCCUGGGACUACCGUGUGCUGUAGGCU